CUUCACUAGGAAAAGAGUGACUUUCGUUUCUCAAUCUGGCUGCUUGUGGUAAAAUUCUCGGAAGCUGACCCGGGAUCCAGAGACAAUAUCAAGGCUCUGGGAGGCGUUAGUUGGAAAGAUGUGAGCGGAAACUUGAAAUGUGCUCGCUGGGUUGGACUCCCACUCUGGCGCUCCAGUGAAGAGCGUUCCCAAAGAGUAUUCCGCAGCUGCGCCCUCAGCCUGGGCCCAAGGACACAGGACGUGGAGCGGAUCCUAUGUCCUGGGUGUCUGCUGCUUGAAAAGGUUUCAGAUGCUCAGGGAACAGACCUGAGCCCGGAAGAACUUGGAGCGCGGAGCCGGGAGCCAGCCCAGCCCCGCCACUGCCCAAUGAACACGAGAACAAAUGACGGCUGUUUGAAACCACUACAUUUUGAGGAUAUUAUUUACUACACUGCGUUAUUGUGGCAGUAGGUGACUAAAACAAGUCACAUCCGGUUCCAGUUAAGAGAGGCCAAGAGAAUGAUCUCAUGAAGCUUGCCAAUAGCCAAUCCCUAUGAUGCUGGACCACCUGUGGGUUCUAGGUAGGAGAAAAAUGCCCUCUUCACAUCUCCCUGCCAUACUUGAGGUCGUACAGGCCGCAGGGCACCUCUGCUUAUCCCUGGCAUCUUAAAUACACUAUACGAGAAAGUAGCCCCCUCAAUCUCUGUCUUGCCCAGAAUUUCCAAGAGUAUCCCAUGAGAACAGCUGGCUCACCUUAGUGGCUCAGGCCUUCUAAUUAUCGUCACUGAAACUCAGUCCAAAGGGAGAAAGGCACAGAUGCCAUGGGUCUCGUCUUCUCCAUUGUCCUCGUUCCUCAUCCCCGGAGACUCCCCUUCACUAACUCUUGCCUCUUCCCAGUUGCAAACAAAAGUAGACGUCACAGAUGUGGUGCUUAGAAGGGUGGGUCGUUUAUACCAGGAGAGCUCAUCCUGCAACUAGCCGGCCAUAAUGCCCUGCAUGCGAGCGCACGUGUGUGUGUGUGUGUGUGUGUGUGUUUAUGUGUGUGUAUGUGUGUGCAUAUUUCUUUUCAAAUUUCUAUAUGUUUGGAAUUGGGCAAAGUGGGGUUAAAGAGAUAAAGACUUACUUUUGUCCUUCUUUUUGAGCGCUACCCUUAGAACCGUGGGCAGUCCGGUAGAUAUUCCAGAUAACUCUUCCAUUGCUUAGUUAAAACUCUCCCAUAAGAAGAAAGAAAGAACAUGGCAUUAUAACCAAAGCAGGUGCACACUACGUGAUCGGGGACUGAAGACUGACAUGCAGUUUGGAUUGUCCCUGUCGUGGUCCAGCUUGGGGGGGGGGGUGGUAUGGUCCAGCUUCCCUUUAGUGAUGACAAGGCUUAGAUCAAAUUGAGGGAGAAAUAAGAAAGCAGAGGAUAAAUAGGUAUAAUUUUCAGUGCACUGAAAGACUCUAGCAAGCAAAUAUUGAUUUCAGUGCUUGGUACGCAAAUGAGUGUAUUGAUCCCAUCCUUUUCGUCCAAAGUGCCCGGUUUCAUUUUCUCCUCAAUUGCAGACUACCAUUUCGGAGUGGGCAGUCUGAUUCAGUGAGCCAGUGCAAGUCUAAUGACUUACUUUUCGGAUCCCACAGUGUGCUCUGACUUUUGAAAAAUCUCAAUAUACUUACGGCUCCAGAAGGAAAAGGAAGCUUCAUUGACUCUUUCAACGGUGAUGUAUUAUAACAUUCCCAGCAAUCAAAAUUUGGCUUUAUUAGGGGAAAAAUGAAAAAAAAAGUCCCUGUGAGGCAUUUUGUAUUCAAAACUGCUUAGCUUCUUUCUGCUGCUUCCCGCAGCCAGGACAAUGGUAUUCCAGAGAGGGGAAAUGAGAAGGGCUGCUCGAACCGCCUCAGGUUGGCCUUUCGUGAUAUGUUGUGUCAGCUGUGGGGAUAAAGUGUCCCUGGAAACAACUAUUUAACAGGAAACUAGUCUAUGCUAGGCAUUCAAUGGACAGGAUUUCAACAUUUUGGGGGAGAAAAGUCUAUGAAAUGAAGAAGCAAUCAUCUGUGUAUCUCUUUGCUCUUUUUCACGGUGACAAAGGCAUCCCUUACACAUCAGUGAUGAUGUCAUUUCAGAUGGCAUCCCUUACACAUCAGUGACGAUGUCAUGCAGGGGCAUGCAUGAACAGUGACCUCAUUUGACAGUGGGAGGUGACAUUGCAGAGAGAGUAAAAGGAUCAGGUUUGGACGCAAGUAAAAGGAUUUCAGAAGAUCUCUGUUCUGAGGUUGACUCCCAACAAGGCAGUUACCGGGAUCCUUGUGUGAACAUUUCAUGGGGACAGGGCUUUUCCAGAGCAUACCAGGUGGCUUCCUCUUGGCCAGCACAGGAUGCCAGGCUCCCAGCCCCCAAGGGUGGCAGCUCACCCUCCCUUCCUACGAGCGGAUGAGCAGCAUACGGCCAUGUGGUUCUCAGGGACAGAGCCUGCGGCUUUUCCCAGCCGGUUGGGAAAAUAAAUGUGGAUGAAAAAGAGAAGGUUUUAAAAUAAAACCAAAAAGAUUAAGCUCUGAUACCCGGGCUCUAUGCCUUCCUGGACAGAGAAGAAAACACGGAGCUGAACAUUGAUGUGGUGAUGCUUGGCAUGGCGGGAACAUCAAACCUGCUUCUCGCUGCACACCUGAAACCCCGAAGUGUCCAGAAGUAAGGGAACGAAGAAGGAGAGGUUUCCAGCUAUAAAGUCCUCAAUCUUCACGCACGCAACAAAAACAGGAACCCUUUUAAAUAGACGGCCUCUCCAGCCUUUUAGAAGAUGAUUCCCAAGAAGAUGAGUGAGUUAAAGUGGAUUGUUAAAAAUAAAAAUAACGGUAAAGAGGAUUGAUGAUCUUUGGGGCGAGAAUAAUAGGUGGGAAAAGAAAGCACAUCCAGAAUUUAGUACGGCUAUGUCUACGACGCUGUCUCCAUGCAGCCCAAGCUGGUUACAGUGAGCCAAGUCCUUCCAAAGAGACUUUUGCCAUUUGUGCCAACACGGAUGGACUUUGAGAGCAUGACGCUAAGAGAAGUAAGUCAAAGCAAGACAUACAUUUGAUCUCACUACACGCAGAAUCUAAAAAACUAAAAACAAAAAACCAAACUCAUAGAUACAGAGAACAGAUGGGUGGUUACCAGAGGCUGGGGGUCAGGGGCAAAAUGAGUGAAAAGGGUCAAACAUAGAAACUUCCAGGUAUAAAAUAAAUAAGUCCUGGGGAUAUAAUGUACAGCACGGUGACUAUAGUUUAUAAUACUCUGUUGCAUAUCUGAAAAUUGUAAGAGAGUAGAUCUUAAAAAUUCUCAUCAUGAGAAAAAAAUUUUGUGACUAUGUGUAGUGAGGCACGUGACCCAGAUUUAUUGUGUGGUCUUUCUUUCACCACGUACAACAUGGUGAUGUACACCUGAAACUAAUAUGUUGUCU
rnacentral:lncRNA from 1 species